GACGGGGGAUGCAAGCGUUAUCCGGAAUCACUGGGCGCAAAGCGUCUGCAGGUGGUUUCCUAAGUCCACUGUUAAACCUUGAGGCUCAACCUCAAAUCUGCAUUGGAAACUAGGAGACUUGAGUAUAGUAGGGGUAGAGGGAAUUUCCAGUGGAGCGGUGAAAUGCGUAGAUAUUGGAAAGAACACCGAUGGCGAAGGCACUCUACUGGGCUAUUACUGACACUCAGAGACGAAAGCUAGGGGAGCAAAUGGG
rnacentral:rRNA from 1 species